rnacentral:rRNA from 1 species
CCUACGGGAGGCAGCAGUGGGGAAUAUUGGGCAAUGGGCGCAAGCCUGACCCAGCAACGCCGCGUGAAGGAAGAAGGCUUGCGGGUUGUAAACGUCUGUGAAGAGGGAAGAGCAGAAGACGGGACCUCUUGAAUAAGCCACGGCUAACUACGUGCCAGCAGCCGCGGUAAUACGUCGGUGGCAAGCGUUGUCCGGAUUUACUGGGUGUAAAGGGCGUGCAGCCGGGACGACAAGUAAGAUGGGAAAUCCCGCGGCUCAACCGCGGAACGGCAUUUGAAACUGUUUUUCUUGAGUACCGGAUAGUUCAUCGGCCUUCCUUGUGUAGCGGUGAACUGCGUAGAUCUACUGAAGAACCCCAGUGGCGAAGGC